UGCCUGGCGGCACUAGCGCGGUGGUCCCACCUGACCCCAUGCCGAACUCAGAAGUGAAACGCCGUAGCGCCGAUGGUAGUGUGGGGUCUCCCCAUGCGAGAGUAGGGAACUGCCAGACAUCAA
rnacentral:rRNA from 1 species